AGAUUAUUAUUAUGGGUAUUGGUUUAGCCACUGGCGCGCCUGAUACCCAUAUCCGGCGGCCAGAAUCCAAGGUCGCCCGGUUGAGAAACUCCAAAACCCCCGGUCGGCCUCCCGACCGGGGG
rnacentral:sRNA from 1 species